GACGAACGCUGGCGGCGUGCUUAACACAUGCAAGUCGAACGGUGAAGCGCCUUCCUUUUUGGUGGGUGUGGAUGAGUGGCGAACGGGUGAGUAACACGUGAGUAACCUGCCCCCUUCUUCUGGAUAACCGCAUGAAAGUGUGGCUAAUACAGGAUAUUCUGGGUCUGUCGCAUGAUGGGUCUGGGAAAGACUUUGUGUCGGUGGGGGAUGGGCUCGCGGCCUAUCAGCUUGUUGGUGGGGUGAUGGCCUACCAAGGCGGUGACGGGUAGCCGGCCUGAGAGGGUCGACGGUCACACUGGGACUGAGACACGGCCCAGACUCCUACGGGAGGCAGCAGUGGGGAGUAUUGCACAAUGGGCGCCAGCCUGAUGCAGCGCCGCCGCGUGAGGGAUGGAGGCCUUCGGGUUGUGAACCUCUUUCGCCAGUGAAGCAGGCCUGCCUCGUUUGUGGGUGGGUUGACGGUAGCUGGAUAAGAAGCGCCGGCUAACUACGUG
rnacentral:rRNA from 1 species